UAGGGAAUCUUCCGCAAUGGACGCAAGUCUGACGGAGCAACGCCGCGUGAGUGAAGAAGGAUUUCGGUUCGUAAAACUCUGUUGUUAGAGAAGAACAGCGCAUAGAGUAACUGUUAUGCGUGUGACGGUAUCUAACCAGAAAGCCACGGCUAACUACGUGCCAGCAGCCGCGGUAAUACGUAGGUGGCAAGCGUUGUCCGGAUUUAUUGGGCGUAAAGAGCUUGUAGGCGGUUUUUUAAGUCUGAUGUGAAAGCCCACGGCUCAACCGUGGAGGGUCAUUGGAAACUGGAAAACUUGAGUGCAGAAGAGGAAAGUGGAAUUCCAUGUGUAGCGGUGAAAUGCGCAGAGAUAUGGAGGAACACCAGUGGCGAAGGCGACUUUCUGGUCUGUAACUGACGCUGAUGUGCGAAAGCGUGGGAAUCAAACAGG
rnacentral:rRNA from 1 species